ensembl:lncRNA FIRRE firre intergenic repeating RNA element
GGGGCCUAGGACCUUUGUGGUAGCAGAGUCACUGCAGAGAACCAGACAAUACCAGGUUGCUUAUAAAAGGAUGCCAUGUGCUUGCUGGAGGUCCCAGGUGCAACCAAAUUGCUUGCAGCUAGGAGGACCUUGAAGAGAAAUGGGAUCAGCCCGCCAAACCAAGAAGGGUUAGCACUUUUGCUAGGAGAGCUGACCACGCACAAACAGAUGAGAACCAAAACCGAGUGAAGAGGAUUGAAGAUGAACCCACAUUUUAAAAGUUCUUGUCUGCUGGAGGUGGCAUUACCUGUGACCUCGCUUCACUUCUCCAUACAUGGCUGUUAUAGCAGAAAAUCCAGCUUUCUGAAGCAUAUUUCACGACAUAUGAUGAGACUUAUGUGAUGUGAGACCUGAGAAAACUAUGAUAGAAAGAAGCAACUCAAGUUGCAAGGAUAUUCCUCAUGUAUCAUGCAAGGAUAUUCCUCAUAUAUCAUAGACUAAGGUGUCAGUAUGUUCUUCAAGCUGCUCUGCUCCUGGGCCCAAGCUAUUCUCCUGCCUCAGCCUUCCAAGAAGCUGAAACUACAAGAACACAAGACUGUACCUGGCUUGCAAACACCAUUGCUAAUAAGAAGAUAUUGUAAGACUGAUACCUAAGAGAUAAGAGAGUCUCACUCAUUCUGUCGCCCAGGCUGGAGUGCAGUGGCGUGAUCUCAGCUCACUGCAACCUCCACCUCCCGGAUUCAAGCGAUUCUCCUGCCUCAGCCUCCUGAGUAGCUGGGACUACAGGCCCUCCCUCCGUUGCCCAGGUGGGAGUGCAGUGGUGUGAUGUCAGUUCACUGCAACCUUGGCCUCCCGGAUUCAAGCGAUUCUCCUGCCUUAACCUUCCGAACAUGGAUCCCUGAGGUCGGUCCCCAAUACGACAAGACAAUUUGAUAUCAUAAUAGAACACUGCAGAAACAAUGCUGAGUGAAGAAGAGUAGAAAUGGGAAGACUUGGUUGAGCGGAAACUGAGUUCUUGAAAAGAGGAGAUGCUUGAUGAGGGCAUGGAUCCCUGAGGUCUGCCCCAGUACUAUAAGACAAUUUGAUGUAAGAAAACACAGCAGAUAUAAUACUGAGUGAAGAAGAGUAUAAAUGAGAAGAUUGGUUGUGCAGAUACUGAGUUCAUGAAAAGAGGAGAUGAUUGAUGAGGCCAGGUGCGGUGACUCAUGCCUGUAAUCCCUGCACUUUGGGAGGCUGCGGCGGGCGGAUCACCUGAGGUCAGGAGUUCGAGACCAGCCUGGGAGACAGAGCAUGGAAACCUAAGGUCUGUACCCAAAACUACAGGACUAUUUGACAUCAUAAUAAAACACUGCAGAUAUGAUGCUGAGUAAGAGUAGAAAUGGGAAGACUUGGUUGUGCAGUAACUGAGUUCUUGAAAAGAGGAGAUGCUUGAUGAGGGCAUGGAUCACUAAGGUCUGUUCCCAAUACAAGAAGACUCUUUGACAUCAUAAUAAAAUACUGCAGAUACGAUGCUGAGUGAAAAAGAGUAGAAAUGGGAAGACUUGGUUGUGCAGAAACUGAGUUCUUAAAGAGAGGAGAUACUUUAUGAGGAUGGGAUCAUCUAGUUGCAGGAAAACAAGGCUCAGGGUGCCUACUGAUUCUACAUUAUGGUCUUUAGAAAAUAACUUAACUCUUUCAAGCAAUUGCCAAUCAGAAAAUCUUGGAAUCCUCCUAUGACCUUUGCAGGGCUUUGACUCCUGGGUACAUGUAUCUCAUCUGAAAGGGAAUCCUGACGCCUACUGAAUCUUAAUAGUCAAUAUUGAUAUCUGGCAUCAAAUUCAAGUUGACCAAAGUUCCAUCUUCAGACCUGGGAGAAGAUGACAGUCAAAAUGAACUGCUUUCAUGUGACACUGGACCAGGCCUAUAUACAAAGGCAUAAGUAAUCAUUGAAUAAUGUUUCAUCUAUCUAUCUUAAUAUAAUUUGUUCUAUGCCUUACUAGAUAAAUGUUUAGUUACCUGUGAGUUUUCUUUUCCUGCCAUUGUCAGAGCUAGGCAGGGCUUAAGUCCCUUUCGUUUAAACAUUACUAACUCUAUACAUAGCUUGCAAAAUUGGAUAAAACAACAAAGGUUACUUUUUCACUCUCUCUCUGCUUAAUAUCUCUGAAAUUUAAAACUAUUCAGAAUCCCACUGGGCCCGAUCUAUUUUCAAUGCUAAUGCUCCACUGCUAAAACUAUAUAAGCAUCUUCCCUCUAGGCUCAGGCACUAUCUUGGAAGAGGUAAAUGUGUAAGAUUGUAAAGGUUGAUUUUUGAGCAACAAAAUUAAUUUAGAUCUUCCAAAUAAAAAAUGGGCACACAGAUGCCCAAACAGUUGGCAAAAUAAGAUACUUUACCUCCUGGACCAGUAUGUGGACCUUUUUCAUCCAUCCCAACCAUAAUUUCCUCUUUCCUGUAGAAUUAAAAGAAAAUUGCAAAGAGGAUAUGAACUUUUCUGGUAAGAAAACCUCCUGGGUAUAGUGCUCCCAGUUAUGAGAUUUAUGCAGAUUGUUAUAUAAAGUUUUUUUAAAUCAAGCACCUUAGGACAAACUAUUAAAAAGACUGCUAAAAGCGUUGUGACACAACAAAAGUCUCUAAAUUCUGUAGCUUAAAAAGUUUUAACAAAGUACUUAUCUUUUGCAAGCUAAUUGCUACAAGUCUAUAACUAAAACAUGUAUUGACUGAUGUCUUAGGUCUCCCUAAAAUAUAUAAAACCAAGUUGUAAACCAAUCACCUUGGACACAUGUUCUCAGGACCUCUGGAGACUGUGCCUUGGGCCAUGGUCACUCAUAUUUGGCUGAGAAUAAAAUUUUAAAAAUA